ACAGGCCAGUGACAAUGUGAAAACAAGUUACACAAGUUGGACUUUCAACCUAAUUUUUUUCAUAACAAACAACUACCCUACUUCACGCGUAACUUGUAAACUAGGUCAUGGGGUCAUGCAUUAUUUAGAUCAAUUUAAUUAAACAGGGUUUAUGAACACUACCGACUGCAGUAUUCGAUCAGGCUUUGGACUUCAGAAACUUCAAAGAUUUUCUUACAGAAAUAGAGUAUAAAUAAAAAGACAAUCUCUUUGACAGCGAAGUGUGCUGAUUAAGCAGAGGGAAUUUAAGGAAUAAUGUCAGAUGCAGAUGAAGCAGUGUUAUCUUUAUACAAAGAAGUUUGGCAGUGGAAGCUUGUAGAAAGUCCUGAGCUUGCAUCAUUUUGUGGUUUUCAUGCAUAUGAUGAUAGAUGGGAUGACAUUAGUGAAGAAGCUUAUUUAAGGAGAGAGGUACAAUAAUUUGAUGAACUAAUAUGUAUAACUAAUUGUAGUACAUAUAUAAGAUAAAAACAAAUAAUCAAAUUCUAUUUUUGUUUUCAUAAGGCAUUCAAAUAACUUCAUUAAAUUUUGUUUGAAAUACAGUAAACUAAGCUAGUGCUUAAUUAUAUCAAGGUUUGACUUUUCUAAAUGGUAAACAUUUUUUCCAGGGGUUUUAAAUGAUGUCUGAUCUACUUAAUCAUGAUGAUCCACAUAUUGAUGAAACUAUAAAAAAAUCAAA
rnacentral:sRNA from 1 species